rnacentral:tRNA from 1 species
UAGUAAAAUAGCACAUUACACUGCCUUGUCGAGACAGAGUUGUGGGUUAGAGCCCCGCGGGUCCUG